UCCAGACUCCUACGGGAGGCAGCAGUCGAGAAUCAUUCACAAUGGGGGAAACCCUGAUGCAGCGACGCCGCGUGAGUGAAGAAGUAUUUCGGUAUGUAAAGCUCUAUCAGCAGGGAAGAAAAUGACGGUACCUGACUAAGAAGCCCCGGCUAACUACGUGCCAGCAGCCGCGGUAAUACGUAGGGGGCAAGCGUUAUCCGGAUUUACUGGGUGUAAAGGGAGCGUAGACGGCAUGGCAAGUCAGAUGUGAAAGCCCGGGGCUCAACCCCGGGACUGCAUUUGAAACUGUCAGGCUGGAGUGCAGGAGAGGUAAGUGGAAUUCCUAGUGUAGCGGUGAAAUGCGUAGAUAUUAGGAGGAACACCAGUGGCGAAGGCGGCUUACUGGACUGUAACUGACGUUGAGGCUCGAAAGCGUGGGGAGCAAACAGGAUUAGAUACCCGAGUAC
rnacentral:rRNA from 1 species